UUUCGCAAAAAAAAAGUCCAAAAGCACACAGACUUACUAAUUCCUCCUAGUGGAAAAGAACAGAGCCUACAAAAAUCUCUUAAGCAAAGAAUAUUUUACUAAAAUCUGCAAUCCAUGUACUACUACACAAGACAUACAAGAGUUUUACACAAAAGAGGGGCCAGCUUAACUAGCUAGAAUACAAAGUUUCAGCUACCAUAUAUGUAGGGAUUGUGUCUUGUCUUAAUUUCCAGGGAGCUAGUCUUGACAGGAAUGGUUCUAGUUCAUGUCCCCAGAUGAUUGAGAAAAGCCCGAGCAAAGACUCGACAGCAUUCUUGGUGGGGUAUAACAAGGAAAACAAAAAUGUCUACACAGAAUCUUUGUGAUGCAUGUGAAGAGUAAAUCAAAGGAGUAUUAACAGUCACUCCAGUUGGUAUCAAAUAAAGCCUGAAACAAUUCUCGGAAUUUCGCAAACCAGAUUAAGAUCAUCAGUGAACUGUAACAAACAGUCAAACACAAACUUGUCCAGAACAUCUUCACAGAGCCCGAGCAGAGUGUUGCCAACCCCAUUGAUGCCAGUCCAGCAAGAUCUGAAGAGAUAAUAAAAAUUCUUCUCAGUGUGGAUCAACUUGACAAAACGAAUAAAGUUAAGGAAUAUAACGUUUGAGUGUCAGGUUAUUACAUCAUGUUUUGUGCUGCUCCUGUGUCUUUGCUCUCACUCUGAUCCCCAGGCUAUGUUGUAAAACAACUGACUUUCAAGUUGUAAAAGAGAAAGUAAAAGUCGCAGCAGUGGAGCAUUUAGGGCACCAAAACCAGACAGG
rnacentral:lncRNA from 1 species